UUUCUUCUUCCCUUCCCAUCUCACGUUUCUUCAUAUCCAUGGGAGCCUCCUAUAAAGCUUCCAUAACUUUCUCUCUCUAGCUUCAAUUUUCAUGCUUUUGAACAUUUCUUCAUAGAACCUUUUGUUCUCUUUCACUCUCUCACCUUAAAACCCUUAAAAAGUCUUUGUUCAACACUUUCUCUCACUAGUUGAAAAUUUUAGAGAGAGAGACUUUCAAUGAUAGCUUGAGUAUUCUUGAGAAAAAAUUCAACUACAAAUCCACCAAGGUGAGUAAUGAAUGAGGAUUGAUUUUAGGUUUGUUGAUAAUGGCUAGUAAUUGGAGUUGUGAGUUGUUUUAUUAUUAAGGUUUGUUUAUUUAUUUCUAGAGUUACUAGAGUAGAGAGAAUAGAUGGCCAUUUAAUGGCAAUUGGAAGCUAGUUAGGAAUAACUAGUGGAACUUGAUUUAGGAAAGAGCUUUUGGAAUUAUUAAUGCCAAUUUGGGUUGGUUGUGAUGUUGUGUGUGACAAUAGGUUCCAACGAGGCCUCACAUGUUCGUUUGAAGCAAUAAUCGAAGUUAGAGUCAAUUAAAGAAUCAACAAGACCGGUGAGUGAACUUGCAUUUCAAAAUUUCUUUGGGAAAUGUGAUGUAUUUGAAUGAACAUUUGAAUGAUUUUAUCCAACUUUUCUUUAAAAAUGUGUGCUAGG
rnacentral:lncRNA from 1 species